AUGAACGCUGGCGGCGUGCCUAAUCCAUGCAAGUCGGGCGAACGGACGAGAAGCUUGCUUCUCUGAUGUUAGCGGCGGACGGGUGAGUAACACGUGGAUAACCUACCUAUAAGACUGGGAUAACUUCGGGAAACCGUAGCUAAUACCGGAUAAUAUUUUGAACCGCAUGGUUCAAAAGUGAAAGACGGUCUUGCUGUCACUUAUAGAUGGAUCCGCGCUGCAUUAGCUAGUUGGUAAGGUAACGGCUUACCAAGGCAACGAUGCAUAGCCGACCUGAGAGGGUGAUCGGCCACACUGGAACUGAGACACGGUCCAGACUCCUACGGGAGGCAGCAGUAGGGAAUCUUCCGCAAUGGGCGAAAGCCUGACGGAGCAACGCCGCGUGAGUGAUGAAGGUCUUCGGAUCGUAAAACUCUGUUAUUAGGGAAGAACAUAUGUGUAAGUAACUGUGCACAUCUUGACGGUACCUAAUCAGAAAGCCACGGCUAACUACGUG
rnacentral:rRNA from 1 species